AUACAGGGGGUGCGAGCGUUAAUCGGAAUUACUGGGCGUAAAGCGUACGUAGGCGGUUUGCUAAGUCAGAUGUGAAAGCCCCGGGCUUAACCUGGGAACUGCAUUUGAUACUGGCAGACUAGAGUAUGAUAGAGGGGGGUAGAAUUCCUGGUGUAGCGGUGAAAUGCGUAGAUAUCAGGAGGAAUACCAGUGGCGAAGGCGGCCCCCUGGAUCAAUACUGACGCUGAGGUACGAAAGCGUGGGGAGCGAACAGGAUUAGAAACCCUAGUAGUCC
rnacentral:rRNA from 1 species